rnacentral:rRNA from 1 species
AACGAACGCUGGCGGCAGGCCUAACACAUGCAAGUCGAGCGAAGCCUUCGGGCUUAGCGGCGGACGGGCGAGUAACGCGUGGGAACGUGCCCUUUGGUACGGAAUAGCCCCGGGAAACUGGGAGUAAUACCGUAUGUGGUCGAGAGACGAAAGAUUUAUCGCCAAAGGAUCGGCCCGCGUUGGAUUAGGUAGUUGGUGGGGUAAUGGCCUACCAAGCCGACGAUCCAUAGCUGGUUUGAGAGGAUGAUCAGCCACACUGGGACUGAGACACGGCCCAGACUCCUGCGGGAGGCAGCAGUGGGGAAUCUUAGACAAUGGGGAAACCCUGAUCUAGCCAUGCCGCGUGAUCGAUGAAGGCCUUAGGGUUGUAAAGAUCUUUCAGUGGGGAAGAUAAUGACUGUACCCACAGAAGAAGCCCCGGCUAACUCCGUGCCAGCAGCCGCCGUAAUAC